AUUGAACGCUGGCGGCAGGCCUAACACAUGCAAGUCGAGCGGAAACGAGUUAUCUGAACCUUCGGGGAACGAUAACGGCGUCGAGCGGCGGACGGGUGAGUAAUGCCUAGGAAAUUGCCCUGAUGUGGGGGAUAACCAUUGGAAACGAUGGCUAAUACCGCAUGAUGCCUACGGGCCAAAGAGGGGGACCUUCGGGCCUCUCGCGUCAGGAUAUGCCUAGGUGGGAUUAGCUAGUUGGUGAGGUAAGGGCUCACCAAGGCGACGAUCCCUAGCUGGUCUGAGAGGAUGAUCAGCCACACUGGAACUGAGACACGGUCCAGACUCCUACGGGAGGCAGCAGUGGGGAAUAUUGCACAAUGGGCGCAAGCCUGAUGCAGCCAUGCCGCGUGUGUGAAGAAGGCCUUCGGGUUGUAAAGCACUUUCAGUCGUGAGGAAGGUAGUGUAGUUAAUAGCUGCAUUAUUUGACGUUAGCGACAGAAGAAGCACCGGCUAACUCCGUGCCAGCCGCCGCCGUAACAC
rnacentral:rRNA from 1 species